rnacentral:rRNA from 5 species
AAAUUGAAGAGUUUGAUCAUGGCUCAGAUUGAACGCUGGCGGCAGGCCUAACACAUGCAAGUCGAACGGUAACAGGAAGCAGCUUGCUGCUUCGCUGACGAGUGGCGGACGGGUGAGUAAUGUCUGGGAAACUGCCUGAUGGAGGGGGAUAACUACUGGAAACGGUGGCUAAUACCGCAUAAUGUCGCAGGACCAAAGAGGGGGACCUUCGGGCCUCUUGCCAUCAGAUGUGCCCAGAUGGGAUUAGCU